rfam:Ricinus communis cultivar Hale ctg_1100012350285, whole genome shotgun sequence.
GUAUCCAUCGUGUGGGCAUUAUAAUAAGAGUGAUUUGAAGCGACCCUAUGCUUCAUGAAAGAGCUCAAUAUCCUUUUAAUAAACAUUAGAGAUUUCAGCCCUUAAUUC